rnacentral:misc_RNA from 1 species
GCGGGAUGCAACACACAUCACAACAUUCUACUUAGUCAGAACGAGGCUAUGUUCAUCCCCAAAUUUUUCCGGGCAAACGCAACGAGGUUUUCGAUCUCGUCGUCAUCGACAAACCCAUUACGGUUGGUGUCUGCCUGACGAACUCCCCGACCACCCUUCCAGGAGCUGAAUCUUCCUCCCACGCUGCGGAUGGUUUUGCGCAGCUCAGCCUUACUUAUGCGUCCAUCGCUGUCAGAGUCGAAGCUCUUCACCCACUCCUUGAACUCCUCCCU